rnacentral:lncRNA from 10 species
AAAGAAUAUGGGCCUGAUCAACAGGGAGGGGUUGUUUGAACACACAGAAGGAGCAGCUGUGUGAGGGCCAGAAGCUGCCAGAGGGUGGUAUUUGAGAGAGAGGAGCCAAACCCUGGAUUUUGCCAACCUGUGGAUGCAAUCAGCAAAUGAGAGCGCUCCGUGGCAUGAAGUUAAUUGAUGCUUUCAUUUCCCUUAACGGGAUGAAAAUGAAGUAAGGAAGACAUAGAAAACAAGACAUAUGUUGGUUGCUCAUGUCACUGGUUGGUGACAUGAGCAACUUCUUUGCUGAAUCAGGUACGAGUUUUCUUCCCCCCACACUGGGAGACUGUUUCCUCAAUUUGUUUCUGCUCCAUGAUCCUGUCUCUUCUCCUUACCUCUUUUUUACAUACUGGGUUUUCUGCCUGCCCCAACACAGCUGCCAUCUCUUCUUAAGCUCAGAGAUAAGUAACACUUAAGUUUAAUCUAUACCUUUAAUGUCUUCUCCAUUACUUUCUUAAGUCUAGAUCAGGGGUCCAGCAAACUGUGGCUCUCAGGCCAAAUCUGGCCCACAGUUUUU